GACGAACGCUGGCGGCGUGCCUAAUACAUGCAAGUUGAGCGCUGAAGGUUGGUACUUGUACCGACUGGAUGAGCAGCGCACGGGUGAGUAACGCGUGGGGAAUCUGCCUUUGAGCGGGGGACAACAUUUGGAAACGAAUGCUAAUACCGCAUAAAAACUUUAAACACAAGUUUUAAGUUUGAAAGAUGCAAUUGCAUCACUCAAAGAUGAUCCCGCGUUGUAUUAGCUAGUUGGUGAGGUAAAGGCUCACCAGGGCGAGGAUACAUAGCCGACCUGAGAGGGUGAUCGGCCACAUUGGGACGGAGACACGGCCCAAACUCCUACGGGAGGCAGCAGUAGGGAAUCUUCGGCGAUGGAGGAAAGUCUGACCGAGCAACGCCGCGUGAGUGAAGAAGGUUUUCGGAUCGUAAAACUCUGUUGGUAGAGAAGAACGUUGGUGAGAGUGGAAAGCUCAUCAAGUGACGGUAACUACCCAGAAAGGGACGGCUAACUACGUG
rnacentral:rRNA from 1 species